AUUGAACGCUGGCGGCAGGCCUAACACAUGCAAGUCGAGCGGAUGAAGGGAGCUUGCUCCUGGAUUCAGCGGCGGACGGGUGAGUAAUGCCUAGGAAUCUGCCUGGUAGUGGGGGAUAACGUCCGGAAACGGGCGCUAAUACCGCAUACGUCCUGAGGGAGAAGGUGGGGGAUCUUCGGACCUCACGCUAUCAGAUGAGCCUAGGUCGGAUUAGCUAGUUGGUGGGGUAAAGGCCUACCAAGGCGACGAUCCGUAACUGGUCUGAGAGGAUGAUCAGUCACACUGGAGCUGAGACACGGUCCAGACUCCUACGGGAGGCAGCAGUGGGGAAUAUUGGACAAUGGGCGAAAGCCUGAUCCAGCCAUGCCGCGUGUGUGAAGAAGGUCUUCGGAUUGUAAAGCACUUUAAGUUGGGAGGAAGGGCAGUAAGUUAAUACCUUGCUGUUUUGACGUUACCAACAGAAUAAGCACCGGCUAACUUCGUG
rnacentral:rRNA from 1 species